GAGGAGGAGCCGGCAGCCCAGACCUCUCCCCAUUGGGCAGGCUCCACAGGUAACACGAAGCUCGGCCAAGUGGUGCAUAAAUAAAGUGGGGGACUAGCACCACCUCCUUGAAAGGGGCCGAGUCCUACCUCUUCACCCUCGCCUUAGGAAAACCGGCUCCUCUCUUUUGUAUUGUCUGUGCUGAAAAUUCAACUGAGCCCCGCCAUAACUCCAAAAUUUUUCUUUCCGGUUGAUUUUGCUCCCUGGCAUGCCAUCUCCCCUUUCCUCUGCUAUCUUAUGCUUAGAGUGACUCCUCGGGACUGAGCCCCACCUGUCCUCACGACCCAUUUCUGUUCUGCACGGGGCCUGCUCAGCUGGACACUUUAUACACUCAAAAGGAGGCCCUGCUACCUGAAGGUACAGACACUCAGACGUUCAGACUCUGUCGUCGAUGGAGUAGCCACCACGGAGGUUAAGGAGCCCAUAUGAGGGUGAUGCUCUUUGCACACUCCGAUUGAGGAUUGAAGAUCUGGUGGACCGUGCAUGUUAGGAGGGGUUCAGAACACCCACCUUCUGCAGCCAGGACCAAGCUCGGCUAUGGCACACGCAGCGGGACACAGACAUGGGGAAGCCAGCCUGCAUCCCAGCCAGGUAGCCGCAGAGACGUGUCCACAGGGACUUGAGUGGAAUGGCUGCUUCAAGGGAGACCAACAGCAAGGGCCGGAGCACCAUCCCCACCCCUCAGCACCCUCGGUGCCGCAGGCCUGGUGGGGACGGUUCUUGGUGAGCUGGUUCUCUUGGCUCCUGGAGGAAGUGAUCCUGGAGAGGGUGUGAGUACUCGGGUCUCCCACACCUCCCAAGUCUGUGAUUCAAAGAUCCUGAAGGCUUCUGGCCAAGCAACAGCCCUGUGGGCAGAGGCUGGGGCUGCCACGUGGCCCACCCUCUGAGAUCAAGACCUCAGAUAGUCCAUGUGUUUCUCUUGUCCUUCAUUCCACCGGAGUCUGUCUCGUACCCACCCAGAUUUCAGUGGAGUGAAGCUCAGGAGGCGUGGAACUGACACCGGAGCUGCCCGCAGGAGUAGGUCUGACUUGGAAAAGGAAAGGCUCAGUGAGAGGUGCAGACACCUUGUGUGUGUGUCCGGCUGCACAGGGGACUGGGCCAGCGGCGGACAGGGGAAAGCACCGCAGAUGGGAUCUGCCAGUUACUUCUGAAAUGGACAUGGGUGUUUUCUGUAACUCACAAAAAUUAAAAGCUGCCUGUUUCUGCAACUCAUGAUGCUAUUGCGUGCAGAUCCCCUGGCCUCCUAAGUCACUUCCCCUUUGGGCUAAAGCAGAGUUGUCGGCUUGAACAACUAACACAGCUCCUCCCUCCAACCUCCUUGGGUUCUCCAGACAGGUGGCUGGCACUCUAUUUGCAGUCAGCAAGGAACCCUACUGCCCUCAGCCUUCCUGCAGGGCCAGCAGGACCUGCAGAAUGGGGUAAAAAAAAAAAAAAACUCUUAAGAUUUUUAAAACCCAUUUAUAUUGUAAUAAAAUAAAUGUAAAUAAGAUUUAAGUGAAGGCAGAUUGAAGAUAUUUGAGACACUAUACAAGAUAUAUCUCAUAGAGUACAGAUGUAAAUUCUGUAAAGGUUAAUGCACUUAAACACAUUUGACACAUAAAAAUGUCAGGACCAACAUUAAUCAUUUACCAAUCGUAAUUGCCUUUAUAUGGGUCUCUUCUCCCCAAGACACAUGAUUAAAACACCGGACUUGGUGGAAAUCUGGGAGGGAGGAAAAACAAAUAAUACUUCCCAGCUGUCAGGGUCUAUGAUUUGCUUUGAUAGAUUUAGCAUUGAUUUCAUCGGUUUUACCAUCCUGUGUAAAUUUCUUUUGUCUCUCUCCUUUAAGGAAAGAGAAGUUUUAUGGGGAGGAGGGUGGGCCCCUUAGUCCAAAGGAAGCCCCACCCAGUUACUGAGGAGAUGCCCACGGCUUUCUGUGACUCGCCCCUUCCUCAGCUAAAUGGGGGCUUCCCAGGUGGUGCUGCUGCUGCUGCUGCUGCUAAGUUGCUUCAGUCGUGUCUGACUCUGUGCGACCCCAUAGACGACAGCCCACCAGGCUUUGUGGCGCUAGUUGUAAACAACUCGCCUGCCAAUGCAGGAGGCAUAAGAGACGUAGGUUCGAUCCCUGGGUCAGGAAGAUCCCCUAGAGAAUGGCAUGACAACCCACUCCAGUAUUUUUGCCUGGAGAAUCCCACGGACAGAGGAGCCUGGCGGGCUACAGUCCAUGGGGUCACAAAGAGUUGGACAUACCGAAGUGACUUAGCAUUCACACACAGGUAAACGGCGGCUUCUCCAGGCAGCCAACCUGCUAAAGCAACAAAGUCUGAACAAAGCCUGGUUCUGGCAAGACUUCAGAAAAACCGGUUUUUACCUCUAGAAUGUGCUCCAGAUAGUAAAAGUCAAUAGAUGCCCCCUGGCCUGGCUGAGUGGUGUUUUCUCAGGAGGCUGCUAUCAAGGAGGCUCUGACUUUGCAGAUAGGUGCUUGUCACUUGGGUAUCCGAGCCCCCUCCCCCAGUCAGUGACCUCUGAGGGGAGGGGACUCUUCACCUACCUCAUCGCUCCCUGGGAUUCUGCUCUUCAGAAAUAAUGAGCUCCCAGACUGGGGGGCAGGAACCAAGAGGAGUAAGCAUUUCUUCAAAACAUUUUCCUGCUUCAAAUUCGAACAGAUUCAAAACCUCUUCCCUGUCACCCUCAUCCCUUCAUUCUGAGGUCCACAGACAAAAAAAGGGCCAGGAGGCCAAGCCACGGGCAGUUUUUUAAAACGUGUUUACCCGUAAAAUUACACAGUGACCGGGGUUGGGGAUGGGGUCAGAGGACUCAAGGCUAAUGAACCAGCAAAUAUCUUCCAUUCAAGGCUCUGAAAGAAAAAGAGCACAAAGCCGGAGUGAUGAGGCAUUUUCAUUUGCAGCUUGGUUUGAGCCCUACCACCUGGAAUGCCUUUUAAAGGAAGAAAGAUGGGGGGGUGUGCACACACGUGCAUAGGGUCAACUGUAAAUGGUGUGUGUGUGUGUGCGAGUGCUCAUGCAGGCCCAGAGGGUCAACUGUCAACCACCAGCCAGGGCUCAGUGCUGUAGCUCUGUGUAAUGCACUGCUGGCUUCCUACAACCCAAGCCCCACUCCAACACCAUCUUUGUUGCAGCCACGCAGGGUCUGAACUGCCCCCACCGCCGUCCUCCGCCCUCCCCCCAUCCGUGUAGCACCAGCUAGAUACCGGAUUCCCCUUCAGGAGGCUGAGCCAGCCCGGAGCAGCCUGCCAGGGAAGCCAGUGUGUGCUGUGAACCUGCAUGAACCACCCCAUCCAUCUUCCUCAUCCACCCCCAACUAUUUUAUGUCCUGUAUCUUCACUGCAAAGCAUGGCUCGCCACGAUACAGCACAGAGAAAAUGAUUCAAUCAAAAUUCCCUUGCAACAACAACAAAUAAUAUUGCCCUGCUUGCUUUAUUCAUGAUCUUUUAUUGAGGUGAAAGGCAAAUAUCAUUGAGCCAAACAGGAACAGACAAAUAUAUACAACAUGGGUAAUUUCCUAUUCCGUGCUAAUGGUAUACACUGUAGAUACAACCUGAGAGGAGUAAAUUACAAGCCUAUCAAUAAUACAUCGCACCCGGGCUCCAGUUUCCCAGUUCACGAGAAAAUGUGUAUUGGCAGAGGACUCUCCAAAUAGUAAUAGCCGUGCCUAUAAUGAGACGGAAGCUACACGCUCCCCUAGGAUGGUAGUCUGGUCUUUAUCAAGGUCCUUUAUGGAAGAAAUUCCCCACAUUGAAAUAUCCUAAAGCCAGGGCCAGAUGAGUUGUUCCGGUGAAGCUUCAAUCUCAGAAUAAGCUGCAAUCUGGGCCUCUGUUUGCCAGAUGGCUCAGAGACCUGCAUCCAUUUGGAUGCCUUGGGUCUAUGGUAAAUGUCCAGGGUCUGUGGGGGUGACCUACGACAACGGCUAGAGGUCUCCAGAUGACCCCAGUGCAGGCGGCAGUGUCAGAGAGAGAAGUCACCUGGCUUCAGAGCUCUCACGCUGACCCUAACCCUGACCCUGUGUGUGGUCCCCCAAAAGAAAGGAAGAAGGAAGGGAGGAGGAAGACAGUGGGCAAGGAGCCAACCACCUGCAAAAGAUACGAGAUUUAUUCUGCAAUCUUAAAUGUCCCCAGUUCCUAAAAGUCAGUGAAUCCAAAUUCCCUUCUUCCUCCCUGUUUGCUACCACCCGUAGAAGCAAAUGACAAUUUUAUUUGAAAGCAAGGAGGAACUUUCUGUCAAAGUAAUACUUCUAUUAUGGACAAAUUAGAUUACUGUUUACAAGAGGGCUAGUCCGUGCUGCAGUCACACACUAAUUCCCAUCUUUGACCUCCCCUGAUUAAGGAAACAGUGAGGGAUCAGACCAGAUGGGCCAAUCAGGUCCGUACCUCCUUUAUCUCUCUCUCUUUUAAAAAUCAAACCCUGAAGGAAAGAGCCCACAAAGGGAUGAGAGCCUGUCAGUGACUCAGGCAAGACGAAAGCAGUGCAGCCAGCAGCCUCAAACUCAAGUUCAGAAAUGGGAAGGGCUGGACAGACACCAGUUCAUUAGUGGGAAUAAAAGCUACCUAAACUGCAGGGAACUGACAAGGCUUUCUGGAGAGAGACACUUAGGCAUCAAAGCAAAACAAUGCAAAAGAUUCCCUUUGUCUGGAGGCAAGGAGCAGUUUCUAGAAGACCUGUCACAGUCUCCCCCCU
ensembl:lncRNA